GAAUUCCUUGGAUACAGUACGCGGCUCUGCCGCCACACCUGCCACACACACACACACACCUGCACCUAUAUACACGCACGCGCAACGAAACAACGAAUAAGAAAGGCGGCAGACGGAGGCGUGUUGUGCACGUGGCUACACGUAUUUGAUUUGUUGUGCUCUCCUCCUCUUUUUCCUCUCGGUGACACACCCACGAAUCACAGCGUACGUGCUCGCCGUGUUGCAGCUGUGUCCUGCAGACCCGCUCACCUGCGCACACGCACACUGUUGUAUCGUCUCCGUUAGCACUCGACCACGCUCUUGGGCUCGGCCUUUGCUCUGUGUUGUUGUCGUCGUUCUUUUCCUUCACAUACGCAAGAGAGAGACGGAUCUCCACAACGCCUCAGCGUGUGUGGUGUGUGUUUGUGCGUGCACGUGUUUGCCGUGGGUCUACCUCCCUCCUCCGCGCUCAAUCAUCACUAUCCCGUCUGAUCUACGACGACGACGACUCACGCAACGGUGCUGCCCUUCCUUUUCCCUUGCACAGACGCCCUUUUCGACCUUUGGUUUCGGCCUGCGUCGCGCUGGACACACCGACGCUCGCUGCUUAUCUUCGUGUUCGCGCGUUUCCGUGCUCAGACGCAUUCUUAGCACACACACACACACACACACACACAGAGAGAGAGACAUAAACACGCACAAAGAAGAGCACAAGGAAAGGAAGGGAAAGGAGUGCAGUAAGCGAGGUAACGACACUGCUGGGCUGCCUAUCCUCCUCGCAUCGCACUACUCUCCCGCUUCCGCCCCCGCCGUCACCGGCAUUCUCCCCUCCCCCCCCCCUACAUACACCUUUGAUACUUUCCUUCGCUGCUGCUUCGCCUGCUUGCUUGGCCACUCAGGCACAUACACAAGAGCCCUCAACACACGCGUGCGCAGUAGUUCAAUAUACCACGUUCUUUCAUCUGCCUUCUCUCCCUCUCUGGUGCGCGCGCGUGUGCGCGUCUGCCGCCCACGGUUCUUCAUCGUACCCACGCUAUCCUGCCUUGUCUUUCUCUUGCCCUCCACCACCACCACCGCCACCCUCUCUCUUGAAAUCUGUUGCUGGCCGUGUCACGUGAGUGGUGGUGAGGCAACGCGCGGUGAGGCCCCAUCACGUGCACGCAGGAUCCCUCUUUUCAGCGCGUGCACUUGUUUUUAAGGAACCUGUCGGUGGCCUCGGCGGCUGUGUUGGAGAAGUGCUUGCCUUCCCUCGACUUCUCUGUGUGCCUGUGCGUGUGUGUGAGUGUGUUGUGUUCGCGUAUCGCUUGGCAUUCCCUGUAACUGCACAUCUGUUGUCUCUGUCCCUCGCACAUCGCUGUCGGUGUCUUCGGAUCCUCUCCUUCUCCGAAUACACAGACACACACGAGCAUACAUACGCCCUCCUUUCCUCGGCCUCAUAUCACGUACUCAGAAGUGCUCGAGGGCUCUCUUCUCUCAGCUUGCGAGCUGGAACCGUCGCACUGUGGCAAGUAGCGCGUGCCUGUGUGCACUGUCCUCCAUCUCGCUUUUCAGAGCUGCAGGAUCUGCGCGAAGUUCGUGGAUCCCUGCUUCUCUCUCUUGCACACGCACACAAGCGCGGCUCGUUGUCAGCUUUUCUUUUUGGAGGAGAAAAGGGAGAGUGAAUUGUGUGUGUAUAUAUAUAUAUAUGUGUUGACGCGCGGCGAAAAAGGACAAGGCGGCACAGUGGCAGGAGCAGUUGCGUGGGUGCCGUGCACGCGGCAGAGACAGAGUACGCGGAGGCCAGCAGGGCAGCGCUUUCUUAUUAUUGUUGUCGUUAGCAGAGUUCGCUGAUACGCAGAAACGCCAACGCAACGCCUUCGUCGGUUGUGUACCCCCCCCCUCCCUCCUCCUCCUAUCUCCUAUCUACUCUCUUUACAUACACGUAUCUGUAUCGCUCUAUCAACCUCUGCAUAUCUUUGGUGUGUUCUCCCUCUGGUCUUCCGCCAGUCUGCCUCCUCGUCUCUGUGUGUUUGUGUCUGUGGAAGGGUGGCAUUGGCAGCGGCAGCGCAGGAAGAGGGGGAAGACUUCUCACAUGUCUUCUCCUACCGCUGUACUUGCGCUUGUCUCUCCAUCUAUCUAGCUAGCUAUCUUAAGCGGCGUCUGUGUGUGUGUGUGUGUGUGUGUUGUCGUUGUGUGUGUGUGUGUGUCUCUGGCCUUGCCUUCUUAAUUCUUGUUUCGAUUCAUUCUUUCCUCUUUUCUCAGCUCCCCUCGUUGCCUUUGACGCUCUCCUGUUUCUGUCUCGUGCGUGUGCAAGCGUGCAUCGUUUUUUGCUGGCUCCUCACUCUUCCUCUUCGCCUUUUUCGUGAUCGAUAGACAUCGCCGGUGGCGGCUGUCGUGACGCCUGCGUAUGGUGGAGGCGAGGAUGGUUCGUCAACGCCAUCCCCACCACCUCACCCCACCUCUCGCGCACACCCCGGCGACGCUCGAACAGCGGCCGCAGCCGUAUCGGGCCCCGUCAUGGGCAAAGUAAAGGCUUCCUUCGGCAGCCUUGUCGCCGCCAUUCGGAGCACCGUUAGCUGCACGAGCCCCGGAGACAAUGUCAUUGACGACGAAGACGAGAACAAUUUUAUGGCGGACAACGCCAAGGACGGCGGCGCGUCGGAGUCUGGGCAACCGGCCUUCGUCGAAAUCGACCUGCUGCGCAGCGACCGCAAUCGGCAGCGCAACUUUCCGGACAACUCUAUCCGCACAGCCAAGUACACGCUUCUCACGGGCUUGCCGCUCAGCCUUCUCUACCAGUUCUACAAGAUCUCCAACAUCUAUUUCUUGCUUGUGAUGAUCAUCGCGCUCGUGCCAGGGGCGAGCCCGAUCAACCCCUUCAGCAGUAUUGUGCCCCUGUCCUUCGUGAUCGGCGCUGGCAUCUUCAAGGACCUCUGGGAGGACUGCAAGCGGCGCAGGGCGGAUCGCCAGGCAAACGAAAUGAUCGUCUACGUCCUGCGAGCGUGCGCGGAGGUGUCCAGCAAAGGCAGCACCACCGCCAGCAGCAGCAGCAGCGGCACUCUUACCGAGAAGCAAAACUCCACGAGUGACAGCGACGGCGCAGCCGCAGCGUCGCUGCGCGUGCACGGUGGUCACAAUCACCAGCAGAACCCUCGCCGCUGGCGGCAGCGCAUCGUGCGCGUCGUGUCGCGGCCAAGCAGCCCAAGGGAAGACACCGCGGUCAGUCGCAAGAAGUCAUAUGAUGGUAAAGGAGUGCAUGCGGUGGAAGAGGUGGAGAUGACCACCUACGGCCGAAGUUGCGGCGCAUCGACAACGUGCCCAACGGCAUUGAGCCUUCGCCGCACGUCAGCGCAGCCCCAAGAGUCAGCGACGCCGGACGCUGCAACGGAGCCGGUAGUCACGUUCCAGCCGGUGCGUAGCUGCGAAGUGUACCCUGGUGACAUCAUGCUCUUCCGCCUUGGUGAAGAAGUGAAGGCAGACUGCCUGAUCUUGAACACGUCGCUGCCGGACGGGCUGACGUACAUCGAGACGGCCAACCUCGAUGGCGAGACCAACGCGAAGACGCGCCGCGCCAAGAUCCAGACGGUGGAGGCACUGGGGACAGUGGAGGACGUGGUGGAGAAGGCUCUCGGCGUCUCACCAAGGAACGCGGCGGCCGUGCACGCCCGCAUGAACGGCAUCGAUGCCGGGCCACAGGAUGUCUGGGGUGUGUCAGGCGAAGCCGCCGCCCCAGCGAAGGUGCGCGUGGACUGCUGUGAUGCGUUUGGCGGCGCUCACGCUGUUAGCACCCCUGAACGAUGGAUGAACGCAUCAGGAGGAGGGACAGCGGCGACGGACGCCAAGCGCCUCGAUGCUUCACUGACCACGGCCUCGCCUGUCGCCCUUGGCAAGGGUUCCGGGUGGCCGAUGCUCUCGGCGAAAACCGUAGCUGCCAAAGGCGGCGACAUGGUCGUCCCCACCGCCAUCUCAGAGUCGACCUUCCCACCUGGAGACCUGCACGACUACUCGCCACAGCACCAGCACAACUCGCAGACGCCGGUCGGCCGGGAGUGCCCAGAGCGAAAAGCGGCCGAGCACGACUCAGCUGCAGCGAUAGCGGAGAGAGGGGCCGCCCCCCUCUGCCACCAGCACGAGCACAGCUUCUCUGAUCAACAGAAGCACUUCACCAGCUCCAGCACCACCGGCGUCCCCCUCGCACGUAGCAGCACGGACUUGAGUGCCGCGGUGUCAGGUAACUUCCACAGCGUGGCUAGCAAUGUCACGUCAGACAUGUCCCCAGAGCGAAUUCUGCACCAGCGACUUAUGACGUUGAAGGAGCGACUUGCCGAGGAAGGGCAGCUGCCGAUGCCACUCCAGCUUCGGCAGCUCUCGGAGCAUUACGAGCGCACCGUGCACAGUCGCACGAACAGCGCAGGUGCGCGCGUGUCCUCCCUGCACGGGUGCCCACACAACUCCACCAAUCGCGCGGGCGAAAGCGAGUCUUUGUUCGACGACGACGCCCAUCAUCAUCACAGGAGCCGUGAGUCACAACAGAGGAGAGUGGCUGAGCCACGACGACGCGACGGGGCAGGCGACGCGGAAACGGCCGCCACAGGACCGGGAUCCGGUGCCGGCCCCCGUGGCCAGUCGCGUGGCUUCUCAGCGCCCAACAAACCUGGAGUAUUUCAUAACGAGCCGCUCCACGGCAACCACAUCGCCGACGGUAGCGAUAGGGCCUUUGAAGCGGCCCCGGGCGUACUGCCCGCCUCCGGCGUGGUUCUCAUCUCCUGCCCCCCCACGCCGGACCUGUCGAUGUGGUUUGGCCAGCUGCGCUUGCCAUCAGGCGAGAUGGUGCCGCUCGGCAUUGACCAGUUCAUUCCACGGGGCUGCCUUAUCCGCAACACGGACUGGGUUAUCGGUGCGGUCGUGUACACGGGUCGCCACACCAAGAUGCUGCUGAACCUGCGGCCGAAGCCGCACAAGGUAACGAACAUGACACGGCGCCUGAACCAGAUGAACGUGCUGUUCUUUGCAUUUAAUCAGGUGCUGAUAAUGCUGCUCUGCGGGCUGGCCAUCUGGAGCAAGCGCCAACUGCUGCGCAAGGUGCCUGGGGCGAAGACCGAUCACUCGGCCUGGUACAUCCAGUGGAACCUCGAACGCUACUCGGACGUCUCGUUGUUUUGGUGGCGCUACCUGACCAACUUUGUGCUGGUGAGCUACCUCAUUCCCUUGUCUCUUUACGUCACGCUGGAAUUCAACAAGGCCAUGCAGAUGCUCCUGAUCGGCGCGGACAAGCGCAUGGCGGUCUUCGACGAGUUCACCGGGGCCAUCAAGAAAGCGCGCCCCAAGACUUCUGAGCUUAACGGCCAACUCGGCCACGUGCGCUACAUCUUCACGGACAAGACGGGGACCUUGACAGAAAACCUCAUGACGUACGUUGGCGGCGUCGUCGACGGGCACACGCACAGCGAAACGGAGCAGCCUGGCGGCAUCGGCCGUGCACUUCUUCGUCGCAGCACUGCAUACACCGCGGGCAGUGUCCUCACUAGCGUCUGUCCGAACAGUAUGGGCUCAGCCCGUGAAUCGUCACUGCGCUGUGACCAUCACAAGCAUCGUCGCCUCAGCUCGUCCCUCGGCAGAGAGGCAAGCACUCUCGGCGACGCUGCCGUAGCAGACAGUCUGGCGGGCAUGCGGGGUGAGAGCGCCCUUGUCGCCGCGAGUAACAGCAGCAGCUGUAGCGCGGCUGGCGGUGGUGACCAACACUCCUCCAACCACCCCUUUCAGCGUCUGGCGGCGGUGAUGGCGAGUCACAUAGCCGUUGACGCCCACGCCAACGGCGACGACGACACGAUCAGACAGUCACCACGCACGGUGACGGCCGCCUCCCCCGCGUCGCUGGUCGCCACGGUGGACAUCGGCGCUACCUCGCCGCAUCUGCCGCUCUCCAGCAGCUACCAGUGUGGCAGCGGAGCAUUCGGCCGGAACGCUUUCCCGGCCUUGGGCAACGCGGUCCCUGGAGCGGAUGGUAAUGAGCCUGGGGGUCUCGGCAGCUUGGCCGGGCUGCGCAACAUCAACGAAGCCGUGCUGGAGCGCGAGCCGCUAUUCUGCUAUCUACGCGCCAUCGCUCUGUGCCACUCCGUCGUGUGCUUUCCAGUGGACGCAGUCGAUGGAUUAGCGGACUCGCAGCAGGCGGCAGAGAACGGCAAAGGCGCGCCGCAGGAAACGAAAGGGCACAAAGACCGUCGCCGCGACAAGGAUCACAACGCCACCGCGGCGGUGGGCGAGGGCAGUGCGCCACAGAAGCGGAAGAAUAGCCACCAUCACAACCGUGCUGACGACGGCGCAGGCAAGGGUGCGCCGAGGCGACGUCGCGGCAGCGCUUCCACCGCAGACCCCGAUCACUCGCGGGCGCGUCAUCAGCAGAGCCACGAGACUGCCCACCACGCACCCGAUCUGGUCCCUCUCUCGAAGAUAUUAUCUCUUAACGAUAUUUCGGUUGGUAACUUCGUUGAGAUCCCCUACGCCGUUCCCGCCGGCCCCGCGGUAUGUGAAGACUUGGAGCCCUACACCGCCAGUGGCACCAACAGCGGCAGAGGUGUCAGCAUGUCGGCUCACGACCAUCUCACCCGCGCCAACACUGCAUCUUUCGUGACGGCGGCGGCGAGUGCGGAUGGCCGAGGCCAGCAUCAAUACCAUCAUCACAAGACAAACACGAAUUCCGCAGUACCAGCGGCCACGACGGUGGACUUGGGGCCCCUAACAAAGGACAUCUUCAAUCUGAGCAGGAACAACACAUCUCUGCUGCACGGCCGCACGAGCAGCACGAGCUGGUAUCAAAAUCGCUACUUUAAUCGCGCGAUGCAUAAUCGCAACCUUAGUGCGCAUGUGAGCCACGAUGGCGGCGAGCGCAACCCCACCCCUGCCGCUUCUCCUUCCACGACAAUGUACCCAGUCGGCAGCGCUGGGGAGUUUGCAGGACAAGCAGCUACCCCCGCGGAGGCGGGCGGGUCAGCAGCCGUCGCUGCAGCAGAAGCAGCAGUCCCGAUAGCGGCCUCCGAUCUCGAGCCGUUCAUUGACCGCAGCAAAAUCUACGAGGGCCAGUCGCUGGACGAGAUCGCCUUGGUGAACGCGGCGCGCGAGAACGGGUUCUCGCUCUUCGAGCGGACGGCGAAGCAGAUCUAUAUAAAGGCGCUCGGCCGCGUCAUGUGCUACGACAUCAUUGCGGAGCUCGAUUUCACGCCGCAGCGCAAGCUGAUGAGCAUUUUGCUACAACGAAGGCCUGAUUUAGACUCCGAGGCGGCGGCAACAUCGGUGGCUGCCGGCGUAAGCGCGCACUACCACCGCAGAGCACCGGAGAGCUCCGCUGCCGCAGCAGCAGCGCGCGAGGCAUCCGGUUUGUUCGCGGCCACCGCCUCAGGCGUCUUGCCCGAGUGUGGUGUGGCAUCGCGGCCCCCGCAGUCGCAAAGCCACGACGGUCUCUGUGCUUUCCCCGCGCAAGGAAAGAAGGCGAACGGAGACGGUGCCGCGAGCUCGCUGCCAGGCGAGGACGCGCGGUUGUGCCGAGCUAAGACAACCUCGGCCUUCACCACCCUCACGGCGGCUGAGUUGCCGCUGCCGCUGUCGCGCCCACGUACCGUCGUGCUCACGAGCGAAGCACAUGAGAGUACGGCAGAGCAGCGGGAAGAGGAAGACGGCAACAGGAGCGCCGACGGACCCGCUGCGAAAAUGCUUCCGCCACACAGCAUCCUCUUGCCGCCUCCGAUGAAGCAGCAGCGCGUACCCCACUUGGGCGGCUCGGGUGUGUUCACAGCAACGCCUCCGCCGAGCAGCGCGCAGCAGCUGGCUCAUCAACCGUCUGGCGGCGGCAUGUCCCCCUACCACGACGGUUUCGGGAGUAGUGCGGGCUUUGGGGUUUCUGCGGCAGCCGGUGCGCCGGCCUCGGCACCAGGAAAGUAUCUGCUACUCGUUAAAGGGGCGGACAGCAGCAUGAUGGAGAUCGUCAACAUGCAGAAGCGUGCCAACGUCCGGGUGAAGGACAAGAUGCUGAAGGAGCUGGACACGAUGUCACAGUUGGGCCUGCGCACCCUCAUCCUCGGCCAGCGCUACCUGCGCGAGGAGGAGGUGCGUGGGUGGCUGCCAAUCUUCAACGAUGCCCAAUGUGCGAUGCAGGACCGCAGCGAGAAGCUGCACAAGGCAUACGCGCUAUUGGAGAAAGACGUCGACAUUGUGGGUGCCACCGCGGUGGAGGACAAGCUGCAAGAAGAGGUGCCGCAGACGCUGGAGUUCUGCAUACAGGCGUCCAUUGUGGUGUGGAUGCUGACGGGCGACAAGCGAGAGACGGCCGUCACUAUCGCCCACACUAGCGGUCUUGUCAAGGCUGGCUACACCGACUACGUGUGCCAUCUCGACGUCUCUGACAUUAUCGAGGAAGAGGCGUUGCUGCAGCAGAAGCAGCGGUACAAAGAGACGUGUCGCCUUAAGGCGAAAGACGGCAUUGGCGAUGGGGUAUCAUCGCUGGAGAACGUGUCUUCGAGCUCGUCGGACGCCGAUAGUGCCUUGCAUUCACCAGUGGCGAGCACGACAACCCGGGCACACCUGAGCGGGUCGUCUCGCAUGCAUUCGCCGCAGCUGCCCAAGGCACUGACGCAGGCGGGCAGCGUCGACCACGCCACUGUCGUCUCCACUGCAAGUCCGCUGCAAGAAACCGCGAACACGAUCACAGGCGGUGAUUCCAUAGGAGCUGGGACGAGCAUCGCUGUCGACGCGGCGCAGAGAUUCCUCAUGCGCAAGUGCGCCCGCAUCGAGGAGCAGCUGAAAGCGGCCGAGGACAAGUGCAGCGAGGGGCAGGAGGUGUUUGACGACCGCGUCGUCGUCAUCGUGGUGGACGGCAAGACGCUGGACUUCAUCUUUCAGGACUGCAACCGUGCGCGCCGCUUCUUCCUCCUUGGCAGUCGCUGCCGCAGCGCUGUGUGCUGCCGCAUGACCCCGCUCCAGAAGGCGAAGGUUGUGCGGAUGUUUAAGCGCAACGCAAACGCCGUGGUGCUCGCCAUCGGUGACGGUGCCAACGACGUGUCCAUGAUUCAGGAGAGCAGCAUCGGCGUCGGUAUCAUGGGCUUGGAAGGGUCGCAGGCAGAGCUGGCAAGCGACUACGCCCUCCCGAAGUUUCGCUUCUUGAAGCGGCUGCUCUUCGUCCAUGGCCGCUUCUCCGUCUUCCGCGAGGCACACUGCGUCGUCUAUUCUCUGUACAAGAACGUGAUUGUGACGGUGGGCAUGGUUAGCUACCAAUUCUAUGUUGGCUACUCGGGUCAGACACUGAUAGACUCGUGGCUUCUGGGGAUGUUCAGCGUCUUCCUCUGCUCUCUGCAACCGCUGAUGAUUGGCAUCCUAGACAAGGAUGUCGAGGACGAGCUGGCCGAGUCCCUGCCGAGGCUGUACCCGCCCCUGUCACGCGAGUCCAUGUACUUCUCCUGCACGUACAUCAUCAAGUGGCUCGUCGACGGUCUCAUCGAGGGUCUCAUCUUCUUCUUCUUCCUCAUGUACACGGUUGGCGUGCAGGACAACCUGUACACGCACAUGACCGCAGCCAUCGAGGACUACGGCGCCACCUUCUUCACGAUGCUCGUCCUUGUCGCCGACCUCCGUGCCGGCACCCUGGUGACGUACUACAUGCUGCCCUUUGCGCUCGUGAUCGGGCUGGCCAUCAUCCUCGUGCCGGCCCUCGAGCUCGCCUACGCCGCCCUGCACGACCUCGCCGGGAGCAACUGGUUUGUGCACGUGGCGAACGAGCUGUACGGCACGUCUGGCAAGUUCUGGCUGAUGCUGUUCUUUGCCUGCGGGGUGCUCGUCGUCUUCACCAUGGCGUCGAACAUGUACAUACAACUCUUCGCGCCGUGGCACAAUGCCGGUUUCGCCAUGCGCGCUGCCCGAAGAUCGCACCACCGCAUCCCGCACCAGCACACCAAGGAGGAACUGAAGGCCGAGUACACUCGGCUGCUUGCCCGGUGCGAGGAGCUGACCAAGUUGCAGCAGAAGCGGAAGGAGUCUGCAGCGAAGAACAGCGGCGCCAAAGGUAAGACCCAAAUGACGACAACGGCAGCAGCUGCAGCGCGGUGAGAUGGAUAUUCGCGGUACUGGGAAAGGAGCAAGGUCGAGGAAGGGUACGAAAGGGAGAGUGUGCAAACCUGCGUGCUCAUCUCUCUCUCUCGUCGUGUGCAACGGCCCUCCGCCCUCGGCCCACCCCUCUCUCUUUCUAUCCGCUGCUUCGCAUCACGCUCCACGUGCACGUGAACGGCUCGCCGAGCAAAGAAACAAAGG
rnacentral:misc_RNA from 1 species